AAUCUACUCCCUCCGUCCGGAAAUACUUGUCAUAGAAAUGGAUGUAUCUAGACGCAUUUUAGUUCUAGAUACAUCCACUUUUAUUCAUUUUUGCGACAAGUAAUUCGGGACGGAGGGAGUAAUUA
rnacentral:pre_miRNA from 1 species